UCUACGUCGGUGUACACUGUAUUCCUAAAAUGCACCUAACUUUAAUAAUGUGCUAUGAUUUAUUUGUGAGGAAAAAAACACUGCCCGUGUCUGGAUGCAUGGUGUACAGUCUCACAUCAUCGUCAUCAAAUGAUUUUUUUUCUCUUUAAAAAAAAUCUUCCAAAAGAAAACUUGGGACUGAUGGUGUUUUGGUGGGGUUUGCGGUAUAAUCGGUGAGAUCUAAAAGCAGGUAAGCCACUGACUAACGCACAUUGUGCCAGUUUCCAGUUCCACUGUGCGUGUGACAGCGGCUAACCUGGUUUUGGGAAUACUUCUCACACUUUGGCCCGUCCUAGACCAGCCGCAGCCAGACUGGCCUCCUUGUAUCUGCAAACAGUUCAUCAUGUCCUAUGCACAUUGUUGGGAUAGGUCUGGCCAUCAUCACUGCCCUCCCAGUGGUCUCCUUUUGUACUGUAUGUACUUCCUCUUAUGUACAGUCACCCUGCUCAGGGCCUGUAGCUUAUGCAUUGCCCUCUUAUGGAGCUGACCUCUCUAAUGCCACCUACUGUCAAGAACACUGGUGAGUGUUUUUUUGGUUAUUUUUUUUUCUCCAUUUUAUGUCUCAUCUGGGUGGUUUAGCAAAGAUAACCAUCAUCAUUAAAACUCAUCAUCGUCCUAAAGCUCUCUUGUUCCCAAACUGAGGUUGAGGGGCUCUUAUAGGGUUCCUUGAAGAUGUUCCAGGGGGGGUCUUUCAAUUACAGCAACUUGAAUUUGAUUUGAGGAUAGAACAAAGACAGAAUGACAUGGCAGAAACUGUACUGAGGUUUCACUUUCACUCUUAUUUCUGCAGCUAUUGUUAACACUUGUCGGGUUCUGUAUGAAAUUAUAAACGCAAAACAUGUACAUGUUCCAUGGAAGAACAUGGUCUGUGGCCUAAUGUGCAUCGAUUUGAGGGGCUUUGACACAAAAAUGUGUAAUGCGAUAACUUGUAUCCAUCUCCAUACUACUCAUAUGUGUCAUUUAAGUGUAUGUACAAAAGUAUUUCUAAAGUGACAAGUAAAUUUUGUGCUCAAAUCA